CUCAUAUUCGAAAAUAAUGGAAAAUCGUGACGCCGCUGUUUUGAAGUAGACUGAUGAACACACUCUUGUUCUCAUCCACUGAUGAAACCCUAUUCACUGGAAAGCAUAAUUCAGUAAUCUGCUCUUGAAGAGCUGCACACGGUCGUCUGCUGUGACACAGCUGUGGUCCGUUUGUCCCGCACAUGCUCUUCUGUGCUGACUUCUGUGUUUUGGGGUUCCAGUGUAUCAUCGUCAUGAUCCUCCACAACUUCUGGAUCAGCAAUGUCCUCAUUCAGAAGACGGAGGUUGUGGAGCACUGCACAGCAUGCAACAACAUCUGCACAAAGGCAGAACUCACUUCCAGGGCCUUGAAGAAGAAGAUGGAGCACAGCUGGUCUUCAUCAUCUUGAAGGCUCUCUGUAUGGAGU